rnacentral:rRNA from 1 species
AGUGAACGCUGGCGGUAGGCCUAACACAUGCAAGUCGAACGGCAGCACAGUAAGAGCUUGCUCUUACGGGUGGCGAGUGGCGGACGGGUGAGGAAUACAUCGGAAUCUACUUUUUCGUGGGGGAUAACGUAGGGAAACUUACGCUAAUACCGCAUACGACCUACGGGUGAAAGCAGUGGAUCUUCGGACCUUGCGCGAUUGAAUGAGCCGAUGUCGGAUUAGCUAGUUGGCGGGGUAAAGGCCCACCAAGGCGACGAUCCGUAGCUGGUCUGAGAGGAUGAUCGGCCACACUGGAACUGAGACACGGUCCAGACUCCUACGGGAGGCAGCAGUGGGGAAUAUUGGACAAUGGGCGCAAGCCUGAUCCAGCCAUACCGCGUGGGUGAAGAAGGCCUUCGGGUUGUAAAGCCCUUUUGUGGGGAAAGAAAAGCAGCAGGUUAAUACCCCGCUGUUCUGACGGUACCCAAAGAAUAAGCACCGGCUAACUUCGUG